CCUACGGGAGGCUGCAGUGAGGAAUAUUGCACAAUGGAGGAGACUCUGAUGCAGCGACGCAGCGUGAAUGAAGAAUGACUUCGGUGUGGAAAACUCUAUCAGCAGGGGAGUAAAAUAUUGUACGUGAGUAAGAAUGUACGUCUAACUACGUGCCAGCAGCCGCGGGAAUACGUCGGUGGCAAGCGUUGUCCGGAGUUACUGGGUGUAAAGGGAGCGCAGGUGGGUAGCCAAGUCAGCUGUGAAAACUACGGGCUUAACCUGUAGACUGCAGUUGAAACUGGUAUUCUUGAGUGCAGUAGAGGUUGGCGGAAUUCGGGGUGUAGCGGUGAAAUGCGUAGAUAUUAGGAAGAACUCCGGUGGCGAAGGCGGCUAACUGGGCUUUAACUGACACUGAGGCUCGAAAGUGUGGGGAGCAAACAGGAUUAGAUACCCGGGUAGUC
rnacentral:rRNA from 1 species